rnacentral:rRNA from 1 species
GUGAGGAAUAUUGCGCAAUGGAGGCAACUCUGACGCAGCCAUGCCGCGUGCAGGAAGAAGGCGCUACGCGUUGUAAACUGCUUUUAACCGGGAAGAAACCCCAGGACGUGUCCUGGGUUGACGGUACCGGAGGAAUAAGCACCGGCUAACUUCGUGCCAGCAGCCGCGGUAAUACGAAGGGUGCAAGCGUUAUCCGGAUUCAUUGGGUUUAAAGGGUGCGUAGGCGGAGCGUUAAGUCAGUGGUGAAAUCCUGCAGCUUAACUGUAGACUUGCCAUUGAUACUGGCGCUCUUGAGUGCGCUUGAAGUGGGCGGAAUGUGCCGUGUAGCGGUGAAAUGCUUAGAGAUGGCACAGAACACCAAUUGCGAAGGCAGCUCACUAAGGCGAUACUGACGCUGAGGCACGAAAGCGUGGGGAUCGAACAGGAUUAGAAACCCUGGUAGUCC